GACGUAGGGCGCGAGCGUUGUCCGGAUUUAUUGGGCGUAAAGGGCUCGUAGGCGGUCUGUCGCGUCGAAAGUGAAAACCCAGGGCUUAACCCUGGGCCUGCUUCCGAUACGGGCAGACUAGAGGUAUGCAGGGGAGAACGGAAUUCCUGGUGUAGCGGUGAAAUGCGCAGAUAUCAGGAGGAACACCGGUGGCGAAGGCGGGUCUCUGGGCCGUAACUGACGCUGAGGAGCGAAAGCGUGGGGAGCGAACAGG
rnacentral:rRNA from 1 species